GAUGAACGCUGGCGGCGUGCCUAAUACAUGCAAGUCGAGCGAGUGGGUUAAGAGCUUGCUCUUAUGAAGUUAGCGGCGGACGGGUGAGUAACACGUGGGUAACCUGCCCAUAAGACUGGGAUAACUCCGGGCAACCGGGGCUAAUACCGGAUAACAUUUUGAACCGCAUGGUUCGAAGUUGAAAGGCGGCUUCGGCUGUCACUUAUGGAUGGACCCGCGUCGCAUUAGCUAGUUGGUGAGGUAACGGCUCACCAAGGCAACGAUGCGUAGCCGACCUGAGAGGGUGAUCGGCCACACUGGGACUGAGACACGGCCCAGACUCCUACGGGAGGCAGCAGUAGGGAAUCUUCCGCAAUGGACGAAAGUCUGACGGAGCAACGCCGCGUGAGUGAUGAAGGCUUUCGGGUCGUAAAACUCUGUUGUUAGGGAAGAACAAGUGCUAGUUGAAUAAGCUGGCACCUUGACGGUACCUAACCAGAAAGCCACGGCUAACUACGUGCCAGCCGCCGCAGUAA
rnacentral:rRNA from 1 species